CCGACAAUAACGUGCAGGGUGUCAUAGAACUACAUUUAAAUAAAUUAAAUGUAUGAUUUAAUAAUAAUUUAAUUAGAUUUAAGUUAUUUAUUUAUGCAAUGUUCUAAUUUUAUAUGAUUAUUUAUGUAAAUUCUGCGUGACUGUGACGUGUUUUAAUGCGUGCGUGCUGAACGUUCGAGCCGCGUUGGUUCAAACACUGGAGCGGAGGGAGUUGCCAUGGAAACGGAGCGGCAACACAACGACUGACAAGCAGGAAGCUCCGUUUCUCGCUGCUGUUUUUACUGUUUUCGAAGAAAAACAAAAGCACGGCAAGAUGGGAGGCUCCAAAAUUUCACAAUUUCUGAAGGAGCCGCAGAUGGAGAAGUAAGGAACACAAGUGAACAGACUCAGAGCGGACCUCCUGUCGGACAACAUCUCCCAGGCACAAUGAACAAUAUGGUAGGUUACUAGAGAUUACACCAGUUCCAGUUUGGAUCCAGCCUGGCGUGUGAAGACGCCAACACUCACAAAGACUUCAGAUGAUGGCAACUAGAUGAACAUACAAAGCUGCCAAAUAAUCCUUAUAUUGUAAUCAUUGCCCUAAAAGGGAGGAACUUGUCAACAAAUCUACCUCACAGCGCAUCAAUGAAAGCAGUUUGGCAAUUACAGACGGGCGUGUUGGAUCAGGGUUAGAUCUGAAUUCUGCAGGUUUUCUGGAUUCCCAGUUGAAGACAUCAGUACAUCAGAUGUUGGCCUGGACAGCUGUAUCUACAGUACACCACACUGACCUCUGCUUUUGCAUAGAUGGCUGACUACUACCAUUAUUGGUAUUAUGUUCUAAGGCAGGGGUACUCAAGUUCAGAGGCCAAGCGGGCCGCAUUUAAACUACAUAUUGCUAUAAUAUAAAGCACAAAUUACAAUUUGCAUCAUCAGACUUUAUUUAAGACAAUAUUUGCAGAUUUACUGAUUUAGAAAUACAGUUUCAGAAUCAGAAUCAGAAUUAGCUUUAUUCGCCAGGUGUGCGCAAACACACGAGGAAUUUGUUGUGGUUUUAAGGUGCUCCUGGUACAUACAUACAUACAUAAAUACACAUGUGACAUGAGAACAGAAAAAAAACAUUUAAAUAGUAAGACUUAACAAUGGAUAAUAAUCCUAAUAAUAAUAAGUAUGAAUCUGGAACAGUAGAUUUAUGUACAGAUUUGUGCAUUAUUUACUCUAUAUACAGCUGUAUAGAUAAACAUAUGUAUGUGUAUUUACGUAAUACUUGAGAGGGAGACAAUAAUUAAAGAUGGAGAAUGAAUUACAGAAUGAAUUACAGAACACAGGUAAUGAUCCACGUGUUAGCUAUUUAAGCUGGAGAUGGCAUGGGGGAAAAAACUGUUUUUAUGCCUAGAUGUUCUAGUGCACAGAGAUCUGUAGCGUCUGCCUGAAGGGAGAAGUGCAAACAAGUUGUGUCCGGGGUGAGAGGGGUCUUUGAUGAUGUUACCUGCCCGUUUCUUCACUCUGGAGUUGUACAAGUCCUGAAGGCUGGGCAGGUGCACACCAAUGAUCUUUUCUGCUGUCCUAACAGUCCGUUGAAGUCUUCUUAGAUCUGAUUUGCUGGCUGACCCAAACCAGACAGUUAUGGAGGAGCACAGAACCGACUCAAUAACAGCUGAAUAAAACUGUUUUCACGAUGGAGUCAAUGUGAUUGUCCCACUUCAGGUCCUGAGAGAUGGUGGUGCCCAGGAACCUGAAUGACUCCACUGCAGCCACAGUGCUGUUCAUGAUGACUCGUCGCCGUCCUGGAUGAGGCCGAUGACUGUGGUGUCGUCUGCAAACUUCAGGAGUUUGACAGAGGGGUCUUUAGAGGUGCAGUCGUUGGUGUAGAGGGAGAAGAGUAGUGGGGAGAGAACGCAGCCCUGAGGAGCUCCAGUGCUGAUGGUGCGGGUGCUGGAUGUGUGUUUUCCCAGCCUCACUAGCUGCUGCCUGUCUGUCAGGAAGCUGGUGAUCCACUGACAGAUGGAGGAGGGAAAGGUGACAAAGGGGGGAGAUGGGGAGAGAAGAAGCGCCCUGGAUGAAAUGAAAUUAAAAGCUAUAAUGGAUGCAGUUAUGUCCGUUUCGGUUGGCCAGAUCGGAACAGCCCUGAAUGGGAAGAUGGCAGAGCUAAGACUGGCAAUGUCCAGGAAAAAUGUUAAUCAAAAAUGAGUGUUUCCCCAGUGAGUGAGUUUGGGAAUAUUUUGAAAUGAAAUACUGAGGGAAAAAAGUGAGCGCUUUGAAAAGGCUUUAAAAAUAAAAUAAAGUCUGAAGUUGAAGUUAAAUGAAGUUAAAGUUUUUACUUGAAAAGUGUGUAGUUGUCAAGUCUGUGCUGAAAAAAAUGCAUUAAAGUUUGUAUUUGAAAAGACUGAAUUGUGUGUUCUGUGGAAUGAGUACAAAUAUAUGUGCAGGCUGUAUAAAAAACAUAGUUGUGCCACUAAUAUAAGUGAAAGUACAU